AGUGAACGCUGGCGGUAUGCCUAACACAUGCAAGUCGAACGGCAGCACCCUAAGAGCUUGCUCUUACGGGUGGCGAGUGGCGGACGGGUGAGGAGUACAUCGUAAUCUCCUUUUUCGUGGGUGAUCACGGAGGGAAACUUACGCUAAUACCGCAUACCAUCUUCGUGUGAGAGCAGGGGAUCUUCGGACCUUUCGCGAUUGGAUGAGCCGAUGUCGGAUUAGCUAGUCGGCGGGGUAAAGGCCCACGCAGGCGAGGAUCCGUAGCUGCUCUGAGAGGCUGAUCGGCCGCCAUGGAGCGGAGCCACGGUCCAGACUCCUACGGGACGCAGCAGUGGGGAAUGGUAGCAAAUGGGAGCAAUCCUGAUCCAGCGAUACCGCGUGGGUGAAGAAGGCCUUCGGGUUGGAAAGCCUUCUUGUUGGGAAAGAAAAGCAGUCGGUUAAUACCCCGCUGUUGUGACGGUACCCAAAGAAGAAGCACCGGCUAACUUCGUG
rnacentral:rRNA from 1 species